UACGGGGGGGGCUAGCGUUGUUCGGAAUUACUGGGCGUAAAGCGCGUGUAGGCGGCUUAGCAAGUCGGGCGUGAAAGCCCUCGGCUCAACCGAGGAAGUGCACCCGAAACUGCUGAGCUUGAGUGCCGGAGAGGAUGGCGGAAUUCCCCAAGUAGAGGUGAAAUUCGUAGAUAUGGGGAGGAACACCGGUGGCGAAGGCGGCCAUCUGGACGGUAACUGACGCUGAGACGCGAAAGCGUGGGGAGCAAACAGG
rnacentral:rRNA from 1 species